CGCUGUGUGUUACAAGUGUCACACGGGAACUGCCGGUCAUAAACCGGAGGAAGGUGGGAUGACGUCAAGUCAGCAUGGCCUUUAUAUCCUGGGCUACACACACGCUACAAUGGGAAGGGACAAUAGGUUGCGAAGCCGCGAGGCGGAGCCAAUCCAGCAAAACUUCCCUCAGUUCAGAUUGCAGGCUGCAACUCGCCUGCAUGAAGUUGGAGUUGCUAGUAAACGCAGGUCAGCCAUACUGCGUUGAAUACCGGUUCCCGGGGCUU
rnacentral:rRNA from 1 species